rnacentral:ncRNA from 1 species
UUUAUCAAGAAAGGUGGAGGGACUGGCCCUAUGAAACCUAGCAACAGCUGAUAUCAUAAAUCAGAAUUGUGCUAAAUCCUGCGAAGGAGUUUAUUCCUUUGAUAGAUAAA